rnacentral:snRNA from 1 species
UUUUCAGUUUCUGCCUUUGCUAAAAUCAAAGUCUAGUCUCUUUUCUGAUCAGCUUAAUAUCUGAUACAGUCCCUUGUUGGGGGCCAUCAAUAUUAAACUGAUCUGUAGAAGUAGGCAAAGAGUUAGGGGGCUUGCUCCAUCUGCGUUACAGGUUGGCCUGGUAUUGCAGCACCUCCAGGACACAACCCAUGGUUG